GACGAUCCAACUCCGCUACCUCAACAACCGAUGAGGGUGCCUCUUAAACCCAGUAGCAAGGUAACUUCUGAUUCCGGCCCACCAUCGCCAGCUCAUACGCCGCUUUAUUUGCCUCCCUGGGGACAAAAUUGUAAGUAACCUCUUCAAGAGCUCCAGCCAAAACCCGAAUAUGCUAAGAAAUAGGACUGAGAAUAGAUCUAUCAGUAAUAUUUGAAUUUAAUUUCUUGAUAAAAGUUAGCGAAUCACCCUCCAGGACAACCUUCCUAAAACCCAUAUCCAAAGCAAAAUAGAGAGCCCUCUCACAAGCUCUUGCCUCAGCCACAAAAGCAUCUACAACAUCCACCAACGGGUACGUACUCGCUCCCAUAAUCAGGCCCUCAGAAUCCCUAGCUAACACAGC
rnacentral:lncRNA from 1 species